ACUGGGUCUCCUUCCAGCAUGCUGCCUUCCUCCCCUUGGCACAUGGAGGAAGCCUGCUUCUCAGGCAUGGAGUAGGUGUUUCGAAGAGGACUGUUUGGAUCUUUUGCAGAUUGUCCCUCAACUUGGGUUUGUCUGUCAACCUGAGUUUUUCUCAUGAUCAGACUGAGUUUUGUGUUUGGGAAAGCACACCACAGAGAUGAAACGUCCUUCUCUUCAACAUGGCAUCGGAGGGGCUUCAUCUCCACCUGACGCAUCACUGGUGCUGUUCACCUCCAUCUCCUGCUUAACAAAGUGUCUUUGGGGCUUCUCCACUGUAAUAGAAUUCAAGUGUUGCUGGCACAUAGCUGCCGGGGAAGGAUUAUGUGUCCCAGCCUCCAGCACAUGGGCAUGUGACCAACUGCUGGCCAGUGGGGUAUGGAUGGAAGAAAUGUCUCCAGCGUCUGAACUAAGCCACUGUCUCUUGGAUGGCUCUAAACUGCAAUUCUAAGGAGGAUCAUCUUAAAUGUAUGAAACAAUUUCUAAAUUUGGAACACACGAACCAAUUCGGGGCAUGGGAAUUAGUCUGCAUUCCGGAUCAAUUAGGGAAAUAGUUUGCAGUCACUACGACAUUUUGAAACACGUCAAAUGAGAAGGAGAAACCAACUGUUGUAUGUCACCGUCACAAAGAACAAAUGUGCAAGUGGAGGCUUGGAUAAACUAAGAGAUGGUGCCGGGGGCACAGAUGAGAGUGACUGCCCCACAUGUGCUGCUUGGCCCCAGGAACAAGCUCAAUCCAUCCUAGGAUCAACACUAGGAGGGAGGUAUGAUUAUUAUAAUCACACUGCAAAUGAAGAACUUCACUGCCCAGAGGCCACAGGCUGCUCGGGACUGAGAGGACGCUUGCAUUCGGAUGCGGAGCCGGCUCUCCCAAAGGCUUAGUCUAGACCUCCCAAAGUGGAGGCUGAGUCAUGGAGGCACAGAUGGUCUGCUGCAGGCAGCCAAGGCACAGCACGCCUCACGACUCUGAAGCUCAGAGACGUCCCACAGCUCCUGAUCCACGUUGAAUGCUCCUGCGGGCAUUGGCUCUGUGGUCCUUGUGGCCUAUCCUGUGAAUGUCCUCUGAUGGUCCAAGAAAUGCAAGAAGCCAUUGGCAUGGGAGGGACUGUCUGUCGGUGACCCCCCAGGCGUGCUGAGAGCUCCUGAGCAGUCUCCAGGGUAAAAUCUCUGCAUCAAGCCCUUUUAUACUUGGGUUCUAGACUCUUCCCAAGUCCCAUUGGAAAAGACUGGAUGACAAAAUCACAAUGGAAGUGAACCUUUCUGGUUGUUUAGCUGGUAAGGGCACCACCUGCCAGCUGUUAGGACCUGGCAUGUACUGAGAGGGGCCGUCUAGUGGAAGUAGGGCCUAGUGCCAAUGGGUGGGAGUGGACACCCACCUGAGAUUCCAAGGGGUCAUGCUCCCCCUCUGGCUUCUCAGGCUUCACCCCAACAGCAGGAUGGUGGGGAGGAAAGGUCAGGCCCUUAGAUCCAGGUGAUGGGGAUUCAUCUGGGAGCUCUAUCUAGCCUGAGGUGUCAGCCACUGAGGACAUUGCUGUGCAGUCAGCAAGCUGCUCUGGUGCUGAGGCUGCUCGUCCAGGGCUUCCGUCUUUGAUGACCAGAGCCAUGUGAAUGUAGUGGAUGUAGUCAGCUGACAAAGUGAUGGGGGGCCUAGUGGGGAAGCGCACUGUCAGUGGUAUAGCCCGUCCUGAGGAAAGGCCUGGGGCCAGCGUGGGGCGUGGUGCAAGGGCAGCGAAGCAGGAGGUGGGAGAUAUGGUUCCUGGCCUCAGGGAGCUUCCUGAGCAGAACAGAGCCUGGGAGCGGGUCUGAUCGCCUUCUGCUGUGUUCCAAAGUCACGGUGGUGCCUGGUUGUGUAAACCUAUGUUAGGUGCCUACACACACUCUCGCUGAAUUUUAAUAACUGGUAAGCUGGGGGCUGUGGCCAUCCUCCCUCCACCCCCAUGAGCUGUGACAAAAUGAAGUCUGGGGCUAAACCACCUGCUACAGGCUACACAGCUGGUCUAUUGGGAAGCAAACAUGUGAGCCCAGGUGGCUUGGCUUAGAAAUUCACAUGUAAAACCUGUAAUGCCAUUCAGCCUCAGCUUCACCCUUAAUUCCAAUGAACCAUAAUCAAGAAAAAGUAGCUAUGAUGCUGAUAGCUAAUACUCCCAAGGGUUUACUAACUUCCAGGUGCUGUAGUGCUUUCUGUGCAUUUUCCAUGUAAACCCUGCAGCCAUCCUGUGGAAUUGACAUUCAUGGUAACCGGGGUUUAUAGAUGAGGAAAACAAAGCUCAGAGAGGUUAAGUGACUGUGCCCAGGUCACUCAGGGUGGAAGUAGUGGAGCUGGGAUUUGAACCAGGCAAUCACCAGGCCUCUAGGUGUAGCUUAUUCUCCAAAGUGGACUAAUCCCUCUGAGAUGUGCUCCAGGAAAAGAGCGUUCCAUGACCAUGCAAGUCUGCAACAACCCUGAGGGCUCCCUUCCCCUCCAGGAGACUCAAAAUGCUCCUUAGCAGGCAAGAGGCUCAAAGGAGACACACUUCCAGUUACAAGAUGAGCAGAGGCGAGGUGUGUGGGGGUGUCAUGCACAGCUGGUGCCUGCAGCUCCUGAUACUGUAUCCCACACUUGGGCACCCAAGUGCUGCUACCACAGUAGAUCUUAACUGGGACAUAUGGUAACUCUGUGGCGGGAUGGAGCUGGGGGCCCAUGCCAUGCUCUCUCUGGGUCUUGAUUCUCUUAUGUUAUCACUUCUCAAGUUAUUAUUUUGUUUUAAAAAGAAAAAAAAAUCUGAUUCUAUACUGGUUCUACCAAUAAAUCCACAGUAGACUGCAUUAUGUGGAAGAAUAGGUAAAUCAUUAAGUGUUUGCUAGUUGGAGAUUUUUAAACAUACCUUUUAGAUCCUGAGAGCUCAAAGAGACAAAAGUCACAUGUGCGCGGGGCGUUUUGAAUUACAUCCUAAUCUGCUACAUCCUAAUGCGUCUGCUAGACGCAUCCAGAACUUUACAUCCAACAAGCAGGGCAACAUUUUCUGAUGAUAUUUCCACAUUCUCUUCCCUUCCCAUCUAUUUCUGCUCGGCCCCCCGAACCCCAUCUUGUUCCUUUUUUAGACACGUCCUCCAUGUACUCUAUGAUUUUAGAAUUGCUUGGAGCUAAGCAAGGAAGAAUAGAGUGCCGGAUGGCAUUUGCACAUUACUUUCAGUUCGUGGCUCUGAAAAGGAGAGCCAGGUGAAGCACUGGUAGCUGCACUACCUUCUCAGGGGCGGGCUUGCAAAAUGGCAGGUCAAAAGCCCCUGGGGAAUGCAUGUGGGUAUAUGCUGGGAGUCUGUUCUGCCCAAAGGAAAUCGCUGGCAGGUAUUAAUUUGAGAGAGAAAAAAGGGCAAGUUUCAUAAAAGGAAGUCAUCGUGAGCAGGAAAGCAAGACUAAAGGGAGAAAAAUCACAGCAUGUUCUAAUUGCGAUGCAGAAACUUUAUAAACACAACUUACACGUGUAUCACUUAUAAUCACGGCCCUGGCCAGAGCAAUAAUUAUGAUAAAUCCUUUGUCAACCCUGCUUAGAAGUCCUUAUGAGGUAGUCGGAAAUUAGUCCACAUUCUAGACAACAGUUCAAUAAAAGUCCGAUCCAACCCAGCCUCUCCGCAUGUGGAAUUCCACACGGCCUGUAAUCAGAUGUUCACCAAAUCACACUUUCUCAUUGCCAAAUGCCUUGGCAGGUUCGCAUAAACAAGUCUUGAAUUCAUUAAGUUGCAUUUUUUAGCCUUCUAAUUAGCUAAAGUCGUACACUUCAAGCACAGCCCGUCAAGAGCUCGAUUUCAAGGUAUAAUGAUGUGGCAUGGAGGCCAAAGUCGUGGCUUUCUGUUGGAAAUGUUGGUUGGUGGCUCUGUGGUGAACUGACCUUGGACUGGCUUCGGUGGGCGACCUCAGAGAUAGGCAGAGAGA